rnacentral:rRNA from 1 species
GUGAAAAAAAAUUCUAAAAAUUUUAAAUUUAUUAGGAAAAAGGCUAUUAUUAAAUUUAUAAAAGUAUCAUUAAAAUGCUUCCCUAUAAAAGAAAAAAAAACUUUUAUAAUAGUGAACAGGAUAAUAAUUUAAAUAAAAAAUAUUAAAUUUGGAGUUUAAAAAUAAUUGAAAAAUUUUUUCUGAAUUAAUUUUCAAACUAUUAGAAAUAAAAUUUAAUAUAUAAAUAAAAAAAAUAAUUUUAUGUUUUAGUAUUUAAAUUAAAAAAAAUAUAUUAAAUUUUUAUUAAUUAAAAUAUUUCUUUAUAAAAAAAAAUUAAAUAUAUUUUAUACCUUUUGUAUCAGGGAAAAUUAAAAAAUAUAAAAAAUUUUUACUCUCGAAUAAAAUAGAAAUAAAUAUAAAAUAUAUUAAAAAAUUUUUAUUAUAUAAAAAUUUUAAAUUUAUAUUUAGAAAUUAAAUGUUAACAAUAUUUUUUUAUCUAGUUAAUUUAUAGUUUAAUUUAAUUAAAUUUAUUUUUUAGUUAAAAAAAAUUAACACUAAUAAUAAAAAUAAAUUAUUUUGGUUAAUCAAAAUAAUUUAAUAAAAAUAUUAUAUUUUUAAAUAAAUAAUUUUUAUUAUUAUUUUGAAUUUUUAUUUUUUUUAUUAAAAUAAAUUUAUUUAAUAGAAUAAAUUUAUUAAAAAAUUAAUGAUUAUAUAAGUAAUUAAUAUAAUUUUUAAAAAAGAAUUAGGCAAAAUUUUAAUCAAAUGUUUAACAAAAACAUUUCUUAUUAUUGUAUUUAAUAAGUAAAACCUGCCCAGUGAUUAAAUUUAACGGUUAUAUAAUAAUACUAAGGUAGCGUAAUAAAUUGUCAUUUAAUUUGUGAAUAUAAUGAAGGUUUAAUGAAUUAAAAACUGUUUUUUUUAAAAAAAAUAAAAUUAAUAAUUAAGUGAAAAAUCUUAAAUAAAUUUAAAAGACGAUAAGACCCUAUAGAACUUAUUUAAAAUAAUAAAUUUACUGGGGAAGUAAAAAUAAAAGUAAAACUAUUUUUAAUUAAAUUGUCUUAAUUAAUAACCAAUAAUUUUGUAUAAAAAGUUACCUUAGGGAUAACAGCAUUAAUAAUAUAAAAAGCCCUUAUUUAAAUAUUUUUUAAUGACCUCGAUGUUGAAUUAAAAUAAAUUAAUAAAGUAAAAAUUAAAUUAUAUUAGGUCUGUUCGACCUUUAAUAUUUUACAUGAUUUGAGUUCAAACCGACGUAAGUUAGGUUGGUUUCUAUCUUUAAAAUAAAAAAUUUUAUUAGUACGAAAGGACCAUAAAAUAUAUUAAAAAUAUUAUUUUAUUUUCUAUUUUGACAGAAAAUGUAAUGAAUUUAGGAUUCAUUUAUAUAUGAAAAUUUCAUAUA